UGGGGAAUUUUGCACAAUGGGCGCAAGCCUGAUGCAGCCAUGCCGCGUGUGUGAAGAAGGCCUUCGGGUUGUAAAGCACUUUCAGCGGGGAGGAAGGCGAUAAGGUUAAUAACCUUGUCGAUUGACGUUACCCGCAGAAGAAGCACCGGCUAACUCCGUGCCAGCAGCCGCGGUAAUACGGAGGGUGCAAGCGUUAAUCGGAAUUACUGGGCGUAAAGCGCACGCAGGCGGUCUGUCAAGUCGGAUGGGAAAUCCCCGGGCUCAACCUGGGAACUGCAUUCGAAACUGGCAGGCUAGAGUCUUGUAGAGGGGGGUAGAAUUCCAGGUGUAGCGGUGAAAUGCGUAGAGAUCUGGAGGAAUACCGGUGGCGAAGGCGGCCCCCUGGACAAAGACUGACGCUCAGGUGCGAAAGCGUGGGGAGCAAACAGG
rnacentral:rRNA from 1 species